rnacentral:rRNA from 1 species
AGAGUUUGAUCCUGGCUCAGGACGAACGCUGGCGGCGUGCUUAACACAUGCAAGUCAAGGGGGCCCAGCAAUGGGCAACCGGCGAACGGGUGCGUAACACGUGAGCAACCUACCGAAAUGCGGGGGAUAGCCGGCCUAACGGCCGAGUAAUACCGCAUACGCUCUUAAUGAGGCAUUUCAUUGGGAGGAAACCUACGGGGUAUUUCGAGGGGCUCGCGGCCUAUCAGCUAGUUGGCGAGGUAACGGCUCACCAAGGCAACGACGGGUAGCUGGUCUGAGAGGAUGGCCAGCCACAUUGGGACUGAGAUACGGCCCAGACUCCUACGGGAGGCAGCAGUGGGGAAUCUUGCGCAAUGGCCUAACGGCUGACGCAGCGACGCCGCGUGUGGGAUGAAGCUCUUCGGAGUGUAAACCACUGUUGCCCGGGACGAAUAGCUCGAUUAAUCGAGCCUGACGGUACCGGGUGAGGAAGCACCGGCUAACUCCGUGCCAGCAGCCGCGGUAAUACGGGGGGUGCGAGCGUUGUCCGGAAUCACUGGGCGUAAAGGGCGCGUAGGUGGUUUGAUAAGGGUGUGGUGAAAGUCCGGGGCUCAACCCCGGAUCUGCCGUGCCGACUGUCAAACUCGAGGACUGUAGAGGCAGACGGAAUUCCGGGUGUAGCGGUGGAAUGCGUAGAGAUCCGGAGGAAGACCGGUGGCGAAGGCGGUCUGCUGGGCAGUUUCUGACACUGAGGCGCGACAGCGUGGGGAGCAAACAGGAUUAGAUACCCUGGUAGUCC